UGUGGGUCCCAGGACUAUUACCCCAAAUCCCAGCCACGUGUUUCUCUUGCUUCCAUUAGUGUUCGCAGAGGUGAGGGAGCCAUGAAGAGGUAUUUGGAGGCUGCUUCAAGAGGCUGCCCUGCCAUUCGUGAACUUAAACCACCUGCAAGGGCUGAGUUCCUUCACAGCUGCUGCUGCUUUUCUGAACAAACAGCCAAGCACGGGCUUGGAGGCGUCCUUAAAGGUCAGCUGAUCCUCCCUCAGAAGCUUGGAUUUCUCCCCACUCGCCACCAGUUCUGCCUUUUAGUCCUGCAAAACCACCGUCACCACACUUGAGCCAGACUCAGUGUCCACUGCCCACAGGGUAGGAAGUGUGGUUAUACACCUGGCCAAGGUCCAGACCCCUGAGUAGUUCUUGCUGUCGUGUUUCCAAGCUUGGAAAAGGUACUGCUCUGAGACCAGGGAAGGAGACUAGCUACAAAGUUUAUUCUCUGACCCAUUGGAUGUUCAGUGCAUGUUGUUUAAUCUCCACAUAUUUAUACUUGGCAUUUUAAAAAUGAAGCAUGGUUAAAGGUCAAGGAAUGGCUGUGCCAAUGGGUGGCUCAAGAAACAAGUUUGUUGAGUUUUGGCAGUCAAGGAAAUGUGUGUGGAAUCCUUACCCAUCCUGGAAACUCUGACACUGGCAUCUGUUGCCUCCUGGUGGAGACGGCUGCACAGACCUCAGAGCACGAGUCUUCACCAUUGAGGAAGGUGGAUGGAAGGUGUGGGUGUUGACGGAAAGAGACACUGAA